rnacentral:rRNA from 1 species
GGCGGGGCGGGGGCACGGGGGGAACGCGAAGAACCUUACCUACUCUUGACAUCCAGAGAACUUUCCAGAGAUGGAUUGGUGCCUUCGGGAACUCUGAGACAGGUGCUGCAUGGCUGUCGUCAGCUCGUGUUGUGAAAUGUUGGGUUAAGUCCCGCAACGAGCGCAACCCUUAUCCUUUGUUGCCAGCGGUUCGGCCGGGAACUCAAAGGAGACUGCCAGUGAUAAACUGGAGGAAGGUGGGGAUGACGUCAAGUCAUCAUGGCCCUUACGAGUAGGGCUACACACGUGCUACAAUGGCAUAUACAAAGAGAAGCGACCUCGCGAGAGCAAGCGGACCUCAUAAAGUAUGUCGUAGUCCGGAUUGGAGUCUGCAACUCGACUCCAUGAAGUCGGAAUCGCUAGUAAUCGUAGAUCAGAAUGCUACGGUGAAUACGUUCCCGGGUCUUGUACACACCGA